CUGACCGUGUCACAUCCAGUUCAGUUAUACCCCCUGCACGACAACAUGGCCUCGAGGAUUGUUUUGGUAGCGCUUGGCGCUGUGUUCGCCUCUGUUUUGAUCUCCGUCUAUGGAACGGGUGAAAUAGAGGUGAGCAUUGGAGAUGGCAAAACAGCCACACUCGGACAUGUCGGAUGUUACAAUGACGAAGACGCCCCUAACCGCUCGCUCCGUACCCUCUACCACAACCACCGCUCAGAAAUAGUGUGGGCACUUUGGCC